ACAGGAGAUAGCAGCUAAAUUUGUAUGCAAGAGUCAGGAUAAGAUGUAUGACACUCACAGUGAAAGCACAAAACAUCAAGCCAACAGUUCAGGACUAGUCAUUCAAAUGGACUAAAGUAGUAUGAUGCCUCUGGCUUCCCUCUAUCACACGUCUUCUUGUCGAAUAAAGGUUUUUCAUAAAUGUGAGCGUGGAAGAAGAAACCAGGUAUGUCCACAUAGCAAUGAGACAGAAAAAAUGGAAAGGAAGAACUCAACUUAUCCUUGUUUACAGAAGUUAAAUAUGGAACUUCACACCAGGACACAAAAGGUGGGUAAUUCUAUUUUUAUAGGCUUCUUAAUGACUAGAAUUUACAAUAAUAUUAUGGUAUAGCAAAACCAAUUUAUAUUUGGAUUAUAAUUUUACAUUUUAUGUUGAAUUCUCCAUCAAAAUUUAAAACGAAACAUUUAAGCAAACCUCUAACAAAUGUGCACUCAUGACAGUGUAGAAAAUGUAAAAGUCAAAAUAAAAGUAAAUAUGAAGAGAAGGGACAAUCUCUCUGAGGAUAAUUUUAUGAUAAUUUACAAAUAAUUUGCUAACACUAAUAUUAACUCAUACAUUAUUUGCUUAAAUCAUCUAAAUAGUGUAAAUUUCUAGAUAUGACAUAGUUAAAAACAGUUUUAAAUUGUCUUUUUUGAGGGGCAAAAAAGUUUAAAAAAUUGUGUUGAAUUUAUUUUUCAAUUGAAAAUUAAAAACUUUAUAUUUAUUAUGUAUAUGUUGUUUUGAAAUAUAUAUAUGGUGUGGAAUGAUUAAAUUUAGCUAAUUAGCAUAUGCAUCACCUCACAUAUUUAUCUUUGUUUUUGUGGUGAGGACACUUAAUAUUUACUCUCUUAGCAAUUUUCAAGAAUGCAUUAUUAUUAACUAUAGUCACUAUGUUUUACAUGAGAUGUCUCAUGUUUAUUGCUCAUAUCCCAUUGUAAUUUUGCAUUCUUUGCCAAAUAACUCACCAACCCAUCCCACACACUAGCCUCACAACUUUAUCCUUUCUUUCUAGGACUUCAAACUUUUAGAUUCCACAAGUAUGUGAAAAGACGCAGUAUUUGUCUUUCUGUGCAUGGUUUACUUCACUUAUCAUCAUGUACCUCAGGUUCGUCCACGUUGUUGCAAAUGACAGGAUUUCAUUCAUUUUUAAGACUGAAUAGUACUCCAUUAUGCAAAUAUACCAGAUUUUCAUUGUCUAUUUGUUCACUGAUGAACACGGGUUAAUCCUAUAUGUUGGCUAUUGUGAAUAAAGCUGCAAUGAAUAUGAGAGUACAGAUAUAUUCUUGACAUAUUAAUUUUAUUUUAUUUGGCAAUAUACCCAAUAGUAGCUAGAUCAUAUGAGAGUUCUAUUUUUAAUUUUUGAGGAACCUUCAUACUGUUUUUCAUAAUAGUUGUUACUAAUUUACACUCAGUAUGCAAGAGUUCCCUUUUCUCCACAUUCUUUCCAAAAUUUGUUUCCUUUUGUCUUUUUGAUAACAGCCACUCUAACUGGAGUGAAAUAAUAUCUCACUGUGGUUUUAAUUUUCAUUUCUCUGAUUAAUGAUUUUGAGCUUUUUAAAACAAAUACUUGUUGGCAAUUUGUAUGUCAUCUUUUGAGAAGUGU
rnacentral:lncRNA from 1 species